rnacentral:snRNA from 1 species
GCGCAGCUUUGGCAGCACAUAUACUAAAAUUAGAAUGAAACAGAGAUUAGCACUGCUCCUGCACAAAGAUGACACGCAAAUUGAUGAAGCUUUCCAUACUUUU